GACGAACGCUGGCGGCGUGCUUAACACAUGCAAGUCGAACGGAAAGGCCCUGCUUUUGUGGGGUGCUCGAGUGGCGAACGGGUGAGUAACACGUGAGUAACCUGCCCUUGACUUUGGGAUAACUUCAGGAAACUGGGGCUAAUACCGGAUAGGAGCUCCUGCUGCAUGGUGGGGGUUGGAAAGUUUCGGCGGUUGGGGAUGGACUCGCGGCUUAUCAGCUUGUUGGUGGGGUAGUGGCUUACCAAGGCUUUGACGGGUAGCCGGCCUGAGAGGGUGACCGGCCACAUUGGGCCUGAGAGACGGAGCAGACUCCUACGGGAGGCAGCAGUGGGGAGUAUUGCGCAGUGGGCGGAAGCCUGAUGCAGAAACGCCGCGUGCGGGAUGACGGCCUUCGGGUUGAAAACCGCUUUCGCCGGAGACGAAGCGUGAGUGACGGUAAUGGGUAAAGAAGCACCGGCUAACUACGUG
rnacentral:rRNA from 1 species